UCUCUCCUCAGGAAACAGUGGUAGGACUGCUGCUCGAUUGCCAAUACAACCACAAAGUCUCCAUUCCCAACAUGCCACGUGGAACCCGAUUAUUGGUGGUUUGAACCAAAUGGAGCCUUGUGUACAGCCAUUCGGAAGUUUCCAAGAAAACGGUGGUAUUACUUCUGCUGGAUUGCCAAUACAAUUACAGAGUCUCAAUUCCCAAAAUGCCACGUGGAACCAAAGUUUUUACAGUUCGAACCAAACGGAGCCUUCAGCAAAUACAAAUAUACAGCCAUACGGACAACUCUACGGGCCAUCAUCAAGCUUCCUAGCUCCCAAUACUGAAGACGACAAGAAUGGUUGGGAACAGGGCCUGAAUCUUGUGGCUGCUGAUCAAGCACUACUUACUCCCGGACAACCUUUUGGGAUUUGACAUUCAGGGCAUUGGCCACGGGGACUUACUAUUUAUCUCAACAGCUUUAGUGUU